GAUGAACGCUGGCGGCGUGCCUAAUACAUGCAAGUCGAGCGAACAGAUAAGGAGCUUGCUCCUUUGACGUUAGCGGCGGACGGGUGAGUAACACGUGGGUAACCUACCUAUAAGACUGGGAUAACUUCGGGAAACCGGAGCUAAUACCGGAUAACAUUUGGAACCGCAUGGUUCUAAAGUGAAAGAUGGUUUUGCUAUCACUUAUAGAUGGACCCGCGCCGUAUUAGCUAGUUGGUAAGGUAACGGCUUACCAAGGCAACGAUACGUAGCCGACCUGAGAGGGUGAUCGGCCACACUGGAACUGAGACACGGUCCAGACUCCUACGGGAGGCAGCAGUAGGGAAUCUUCCGCAAUGGACGAAAGCCUGACGGAGCAACGCCGCGUGAGUGAUGAAGGGUUUCUGCUCGUAAAACUCUGUUAUUAGGGAAGAACAAACGUGUAAGUAACUGUGCACGUCUUGACGGUACCUAAUCAGAAAGCCACGGCUAACUACGUG
rnacentral:rRNA from 1 species